rnacentral:rRNA from 1 species
ACGUAGGGGGCAAGCGUUAUCCGGAUUUACUGGGUGUAAAGGGAGCGUAGACGGCGAUGCAAGUCUGGAGUGAAAGCCCAGGGCUCAACCCUGGGACUGCUUUGGAAACUGUAUGGCUAGAGUGCUGGAGAGGUAAGUGGAAUUCCUAGUGUAGCGGUGAAAUGCGUAGAUAUUAGGAGGAACACCAGUGGCGAAGGCGGCUUACUGGACAGUAACUGACGUUGAGGCUCGAAAGCGUGGGGAGCAAACAG